GUGAAAAUAUGAAUUACCAAUAUGAUCCUGUAAUGUCACGUCCUCAUAACGUGCCAGUUUGGUCGUCAGGACAUACUCAUCACGUUCCAGCGACGUUCCACUAUAACGUUGCCACGACGGAUAUGGGAAUCACAAAGUUACGUCACUGGAACGUUAUGUGGUACGUCGCUGAGACCAAUAUGGUAUUUUAUAGGAACGUCCUCAUAACGUGACAGUUUGGUCGUUGGGACGUACUCAUCACGUUCCAGCGACGUUCCACUAUAACGUCGCCACGACGGAUAUGGGAAUCACAAAGUUACGUCACUGGAACGUUAUAUGGUACGUCGCUGCGACCAAUAUGGUACUUUAUAGUAACGUUCUCAUAACGUGCCAGUUUGGUCGCUGGGACGUACUCCUCACGUUCCAGCGACGUUCCACUAUAACGUCGCCACGACGGAUAUGGGAAUCACAAAGUUACGUCGCUGGAACGAAUAUAGUCUGGUCCAGUUACGUCGUCACAACGUAACUGUGUUAGCUGGGAGCUGCUCUAUGUGAAAUCACGCACCUGAUGGAAUUUACCGCGGAUUAGAACCGGCUUUACUAACGAGAUGGGAUCUCUGAGAAUUGAGCUGGAUGUUCCGAUGGCUGAUGCUCGCAUCUCUGCAUCUUGGACAGAAAUGUCUUGCUGGAUGUUGAAUUACCAUCAACUCAACCUUACCAACUCAAGACAGAAAUGCUCUUUUUUUUUUUUUUUUUGCCAACCCAACCUUGGUGUUACAGUUGACAUGUAUACACUUCACUGACCACAUUACACUGGCUUGAUCCUGCAGAUUUGCCCUGUAUAACAUAUGAUCAGACCCUUCCUUAGGGGGCAUGCUACAGAACUCCUUGUCCAAGCUCUCAUUUUCUCCAGACUGGACUAUUGUACUGCUUUUUUGGCAGACCUUCCAGCAAUUUAUUUUCUCUAAUUUAACAGAAUAGGUCUGGAAGCCCUGCUGCCAGUUUUUGUUUUUUGUUUUUGUUUUUUUUCAUACAGUGUAUGAACUUGAUUUAUUUGAUCUGAGUUGUAUUGUGAUAUUGAGUCAAAGCUCACUUCUUCAAACAGGCCACAAUUCAAACAUUUAAUGGGUCAAUUUACAAUAUAUCAGUUUUCUAAAACCGGUGAAGUUGAGUAGCACUGAAAGACUAAAAUGAUACUCACCAGUGACAGUAACUCUGUAUGUCUUUAUGAUGCUGAAUCUGGUGCUGUUAAUCAGUAGUUUAUAAACUCCAGAGUCUGUGUUUCUGGUGUUCAUGAUGGUCAGAGAUCCAGUCUGAUUGUCCAGCUUCAGUCUGUCUCUGAAUCUCUCAGUACCUUCAUUACACUGAACAUCUGUACAGAUCUUACUGAGAUCUCCAGUGAUUUGAGCGAUGCGAGUGUCAUUGAAAUACCAUCUGAUUCUGACUUGUUGGUUUGUUUCAACACCAGUGUGUAGAGUGACUGAUUCUCCCUCCAUCACUGACACUGAGACUCUGUCCGUUUUAACACCAGAAGCACCUAAAGGAGUAGAAAAUCAUAAUUUAAUCAAUUAAUAAUUUCUUCCAGAUGAAUGCAUGCAAAUAAAACUGUUCCUCUGCAUUAAUGGCAACACUA